GGCGCACGGGUGAGUAACGCGUAGGUGAUCUAGCUUUGCGACCGGGAUAACCAGUCGAAAGAUUGGCUAAUACUGGAUAGAGCGCAUAGACUGUGAGGGUUUGUGCGGGAAAGGGUGGCCUAGCAAUAGGCUACUGUGCUGAGAUGAGCCUGCGUCUCAUUAUGCUAGUUGGUACGGUAAAGGCCUACCAAGGCGAUGAUGGGUAGCUGGUCUGAGAGGACGAUCAGCCACACUGGAACUGAAACACGGUCCAGACUCCUACGGGAGGCAGCAGUGGGGACUCUUGCGCAAUGGACGAAAGUCUGACGCAGCGACGCCGAGUGGCUGACGAAGGCCUUCGCGUUGUAAAGCCCUGUCGAGUGCGAAACAAUGGCGGUGAGAAUAAUACGCUCAUCGAUUGAUGGUACCACUACAGGAAGCACCGGCUAACUCCGUGCCAGCAG
rnacentral:rRNA from 1 species